rnacentral:misc_RNA from 1 species
GAACUGCGAUAAGUAAUGUGAAUUGCAGAAUUCAGUGAAUCAUCGAGUCUUUGAACGCACAUUGCGCCCCCUGGCAUUCCGGGGGGCAUGCCUGUCCGAGCGUCAUUGCUGCCCUUCAAGCCCGGCUUGUGUGUUGGGUCGUCGUCCCCUCCGGGGGACGGGCCCGAAAGGCAGCGGCGGCACCGCGUCCGGUCCUCGAGCGUAUGGGGCUUUGUCACCCGCUCGAUAAGGACCGGCCGGGCGCCAGCCGGCGUCUCCAACCUUUUUUUCUCAGGUUGACCUCGGAUCAGGUAGAGAUACCCGCUGAACUUAAGC